UGGAGCUCACGCUGGGACCGUAAUUACUGCCGUCGCGGGAACUGGCGCUCCGCUGUGGAGCCGAGAGGGUGGCGGGGAGGGCAGGUGAAGUGGAGGGAUUACUUUCACAUCUUCCUGGUGGACUUCCAGAAAGCAUCUGAUGGACCCACAGAGCUGGUCCUACCACUGAGGAAACCGAGGGCUUCCUUCAGUAGCAGACCCUGACUGGAGGGUAUGAGGAGUGGAGCAUCCGAAUUUUGAUCAUGUGAUCCUGAGGAGGCUGCAACGGUG